rnacentral:rRNA from 1 species
UGAUGGCCAGGCUGUCUCCACCCGAGACUCAGUGAAAUUGAACUCGCUGUGAAGAUGCAGUGUACCCGCGGCAAGACGGAAAGACCCCGUGAACCUUUACUAUAGCUUGACACUGAACAUUGAGCCUUGAUGUGUAGGAUAGGUGGGAGGCUUUGAAGUGUGGACGCCAGUCUGCAUGGAGCCGACCUUGAAAUACCACCCUUUAAUGUUUGAUGUUCUAACGUUGACCCGUAAUCCGGGUUGCGGACAGUGUCUGGUGGGUAGUUUGACUGGGGCGGUCUCCUCCUAAAGAGUAACGGAGGAGCACGAAGGUUGGCUAAUCCUGGUCGGACAUCAGGAGGUUAGUGCAAUGGCAUAAGCCAGCUUGACUGCGAGCGUGACGGCGCGAGCAGGUGCGAAAGCAGGUCAUAGUGAUCCGGUGGUUCUGAAUGGAAGGGCCAUCGCUCAACGGAUAAAAGGUACUCCGGGGAUAACAGGCUGAUACCGCCCAAGAGUUCAUAUCGACGGCGGUGUUUGGCACCUCGAUGUCGGCUCAUCACAUCCUGGGGCUGAAGUAGGUCCCAAGGGUAUGGCUGUUCGCCAUUUAAAGUGGUACGCGAGCUGGGUUUAGAACGUCGUGAGACAGUUCGGUCCCUAUCUGCCGUGGGCGCUGGAGAACUGAGGGGGGCUGCUCCUAGUACGAGAGGACCGGAGUGGACGCAUCACUGGUGUUCGGGUUGUCAUGCCAAUGGCACUGCCCGGUAGCUAAAUGCGGAAGAGAUAAGUGCUGAAAGCAUCUAAGCACGAAACUUGCC